GUGGGGAAUCUUCCGCAAUGGACGAAAGUCUGACGGAGCGACGCCGCGUGAGUGAAGAAGGCCUUCGGGUCGUAAAGCUCUGUCAUCAGGGACGAACGGCCGGUGGAGUGGAAAGCCACCGGAUUGACGGUACCUGAGAAGGAAGCCACGGCUAACUACGUGCCAGCAGCCGCGGUAAUACGUAGGUGGCAAGCGUUGUCCGGAAUUAUUGGGCGUAAAGCGCGCGCAGGUGGGAUCUUAAGUCCAUUUUUAAAGUUCGGAGCUCAACUCCGUGAUGGGAUGGAAACUGGGAUUCUUGAGUACCGGAGAGGAAAGCGGAAUUCCCCGUGUAGCGGUGAAAUGCGUAGAUAUGGGGAGGAACACCAGUGGCGAAGGCGGCUUUCUGGACAGUAUCUGACACUGAGGCGCGAAAGCCAGGGGAGCGAACGGGAUUAGAUACCCGAGUAGUCC
rnacentral:rRNA from 1 species